rfam:Streptomyces sp. H-KF8 tig00000138, whole genome shotgun sequence.
CGUGCUUGCACUGCUCGGGGGAGAUGAGGUGGACGUGCGCGUCCAUGGCCCCGGCGGUCGCGAUCAGGUGCUCGCCGGCGAUGACCUCGGUGCCGGUGCCGACGACGAGCCUGGGGUCGACGGAGUCCUGGGUCUGCGGGUUGCCGGCCUUGCCGAUGCCCGCGAUGAAGCCGUCCUUGACGCCGAUGUCGCACUUGACCACGCCGACCACCGGGUCCAUGACCACGACGUUGGUGAUCACGAGGUCGAGGGCGCCCUGGGCGGCGGUGGCCUGCGGGUCGGAGGCCAUGCCGUCACGCAUG